CCCGUGUCCUCAGUGAUGAACUUCUGCUGUUGUGAAAUCAGUUAGUUGUGCAUAACGGCUGCAGGAAUUUAGU